CAAUAGCGUAUAUUAAAGUUGUUGCAGUUAAAAAGCUCGUAGUUGGAUCUGUGGUGUGCGGUGGGCUCCGGGCACUUGUUGUCUGAGUAGCUCGCCGCUGCCAUCCUUGGGUGGGAUCUGUGUGGCAUUAGGUUGUCGUGCAGGGGAUGCCCAUCGUUUACUGUGAAAAAAUUAGAGUGUUCAAAGCAGGCUUAUGCCGUUGAAUAUAUUAGCAUGGAAUAAUGAGAUAGGACUUUUUCGCUAUUUUGUUGGUUUGCGCGAAGAGGUAAUGAUUAAUAGGGACAGUUGGGGGUAUUCGUAUUCCAUUGUCAGAGGUGAAAUUCUUGGAUUUUUGGAAGACGAACUACUGCGAAAGCAUUUACCAAGGAUGUUUUCAUUAA
rnacentral:rRNA from 1 species